GCUGGGUUAGCUCAGUUGGUUAGAACACGGUGCUGAUAACACCAAGUUCACAGGUUCAAUCCCUGCUUACUGCA
rnacentral:tRNA from 1 species